UACGUAGGGGGCAAGCGUUGUCCGGAUUUAUUGGGCGUAAAGAGCUCGUAGGCGGCCUGUCGCGUCCGCUGUGAAAUCCCGGGGCUUAACCCCGGGCCUGCAGUGGAUACGGGCAGACUAGAGGUAGGUAGGGGAGAAUGGAAUUCUCGGUGUAGCGGUGAAAUGCGCAGAUAUCGGGAGGAACACCGGUGGCGAAGGCGGUUCUCUGGGCCUUACCUGACGCUGAGGAGCGAAAGCGUGGGGAGCGAACAGG
rnacentral:rRNA from 1 species